rnacentral:lncRNA from 1 species
ACUUUUGCUGUUAUUUGUUACCUCAUUUAUUUAAGAGUAGCAUUUGCCUUUUUAAAAUUUUGAGAUUUUGGCCGGGCGCGGUGGCUCAUGCCUGUAAUCCCAGCUCUCAGGGAGGCAAGAGGCGGGAGGAUAGCUUGAGCCCAGGAGUUCGAGACCUGCCUGGGCAAUAUAGCGAGACCCCGUUCUCCAGAAAAAGAAAAAACAAAAACAAAAAAUAAGUAAAUAAAUAAAAUU